rnacentral:rRNA from 1 species
AUGAACGCUGGCGGCGUGCCAAAUACAUGCAAGUCGAGCGAACAGACGAGGAGCUUGCUCCUCUGACGUUAGCGGCGGACGGGUGAGUAACACGUGGAUAACCUACCUAUAAGACUGGGAUAACUUCGGGAAACCGGAGCUAAUACCGGAUAAUAUAUUGAACCGCAUGGUUCAAUAGUGAAAGACGGUUUUGCUGUCACUUAUAGAUGGAUCCGCGCCGCAUUAGCUAGUUGGUAAGGUAACGGCUUACCAAGGCAACGAUGCGUAGCCGACCUGAGAGGGUGAUCGGCCACACUGGAACUGAGACACGGUCCAGACUCCUACGGGAGGCAGCAGUAGGGAAUCUUCCGCAAUGGGCGAAAGCCUGACGGAGCAACGCCGCGUGAGUGAUGAAGGUCUUCGGAUCGUAAAACUCUGUUAUUAGGGAAGAACAAAUGUGUAAGUAACUAUGCACGUCUUGACGGUACCUAAUCAGAAAGCCACGGCUAACUACGUG